AGCAGAGGCUGCUCACAGCCCCGCUCAGCUGGGGAACAAGCCUCACCUGAUGCGGGGGGGGGGGACAUGAGCUUCGGGGGACCUGUCUGCCUUCUGCGGGGGGCCCUGAGCUGGCAGCACCAGGGACCCCUGGACUGACAUCCCUGGACCUUUGAACUGGUGUCCCCAGGGAUGUUGGCAUCCCUUGAGGCCAUGGAGACUUCUGUGCUGGCGUCCCUGGGGACACUUGAGAUGGCAUCUCCGGGGAUCACUGAGGCUGGCAUCCAUGGAGACCUCUGCAUCAGCACGGGAACCCCAAAGUUGGGUUCUCUGGACCCCAUGGCUGGUGUCCUCAGGGAUGCUGGUGUCCACAAGGAUGCUGGUGUCCUCGGGGAUGGUGGUGUCCCCGGGGAUGCUCGCAUCCCCUGAGGCCACAGAGACCUCUGUGCUCACGUGGAGACUGCAGUCCUGGCACCCCUGGGGUUCCCCGGGUCUCCUUGGAGACCCUCAAGCUGGCAUCCCCCGGGAGGAGGAACAGGUUGAGGAAGGUCUGGAUGACGAGGGGCACCUCGGACUUGACGAUGUACAGCGUUAUGGCGAUGGCCGCAGCCAGCUUGCCCGGCGUGCCGAAGGCUCGGUAGCCCAACUGCUCAUAGGCACGGAUGCCUGUGGGGAGAGGGGAUGCAGUGAGGGCUGAGGGGGGACCCGGGCACAGCCCCACCGGCUGCUGGGGUC